rnacentral:lncRNA from 1 species
GGUGAGUCUUUGCUGAAAGGCUUGGAGGAGGCUAGGUUUUUUGUUUGUUUGUUUGUUUUUAAAGAGAGUGAGAAUUUUUUUAAUAUUUAUUUUUUAGUUUUCGGUGGACACAACAUCUUUAUUUUAUUUUUAUGUGGUGCUGAGGAUCGAACCCAGCGACUCUCGCAUGCAAGGCGAGCGCGUUACCGCUUGAGCCACAUCCCCAGCCCUCCAACACCUCUUGAUGGAUGAAUGGUUAUACAACAUAUGCACAUACAUACAAUGGAAUAUUAUCCAGUCUUAAAGGAGGGAAAUUUCUGACACGUAUUGAUUGAUAUUGGUUGAAGAGGGAAACAAUUCUACCAUGGAAAUACCAGCCCAUUGGGAAUGAAAUUCAGCCAACCUUAGCAUCUGGAGAGUUUGAGCAUGCAAGUAUGCUGAAAUAUAAAGAGAAGUCAUCACCUUGGGAAUAUUUGUACCAGGGCUGGGAAUGUAGUGCAGUGGUAGAGCACUUGCCUAGCAACCAUGAGGCCCCGAGGAUAGAACCCUCGAAUGAAAGAAAAGACAAGAGCAUGAGGCAAAGAAGAGGAGGGGAACUGGUCUGCACUGACUCAAACCAGCUGUGGAAUAUUAUGUAGGAUGACUGGAAAAAUUUGGAUAUGAUCUGUGGGUAAGAUGAUUUUUAGAAACUUAUUUUCUUACAUGUGAUGAAGGAAUUGUGGUUUUAGAAGACAUUGCCCAUGUUAAUUAAGGUUGUGAUCUUUUGAUGUUCAUCAUUUACUUUAAAAUACUUUAGCAAAUCAUAAAAAAGCAAAUAUGAAGCAAAAAUGGUGAAAUGUUAGUAACUGUUAAAUGUCCAAAUGGGCUCAUUAAAUUGUUUUAUGUACUUUUCUGAACAUUUGAAAGUUUUCAAAUGUAGCAGUUGUCACUUAGCCAAUACUUUCCAGGAUCCCCAGUGGAUGACUGAACCCUAAUAUAUUUUUCCUGUACUCAUAGGCCUAUAAUAAAUUUUAAUUUAUACAUUAGGCAAGUA